ACGCUCGACACCUACGGGAGGCAGCAGUCGGGAAUAUUGCGCAAUGGAGGAAACUCUGACGCAGUGACGCCGCGUAUAGGAAGAAGGUCUUCGGAUUGUAAACUAUUGUCGUUAGGGAAGAAAAGGACAGUACCUAAGGAGGAAGCUCCGGCUAACUACGUGCUAGCAGCCGCGGUAAUCUGAGCGGGCUGGCAAGGC
rnacentral:rRNA from 1 species